AUGUAACGGGGCUAAAACUAUGUGCCGAAGCUGCGGAUGUAUACUUUGUAUACGUGGUAGGGGAGCGUUCUGUAAGCCGAUGAAGGUGUGUUGAGAAGCAUGCUGGAGGUAUCAGAAGUGCGAAUGCUGACGUGAGUAACGACAAAACGGGUGAAAAACCCGUUCGCCGAAAGACCAAGGGUUCCAGUCCAACGUUAAUCGGGGCUGGGUGAGUCGACCCCUAAGGCGAGGCCGAAAGGCGUAGUCGAUGGGAAAAUGGUUAAUAUUCCAUUACUUCUGUGUAAUGCGAUGAGAGGACGGAGAAGGCUAAAUCAGCCUGGCGUUGGUUGUCCAGGUGAAAGGAUGUAGGCAUGUAUCUUAGGCAAAUCCGGGGUACUCUAUGCUGAGAUCUGAUAGCAAGCUGUACUUGUACAGCGAAGUGGUUGAUGCCAUGCUUCCAGGAAAAGUCUCUAAGCUUCAGUUACACAGGAAUCGUACCCGAAACCGACACAGGUGGUCAGGUCGAGUAGACCAAGGCGCUUGAGAGAACUCUGCUGAAGGAACUAGGCAAAAUGGUACCGUAACUUCGGGAGAAGGUACGCUGUUGUUGGUGAUGGAACUCGCUUCCUGAGCUGACGACAGCCGCAGAAACCAGGCCGCUGCAACUGUUUAUUAAAAACAUAGCACUCUGCAAACACGAAAGUGGACGUAUAGGGUGUGAUGCCUGCCCGGUGCUGGAAGGUUAAUUGAUGGGGUUAGCGUAAGCGAAGCUCUUGAUCGAAGCCCCAGUAAACGGCGGCCGUAACUAUAACGGUCCUAAGGUAGCGAAAUUCCUUGUCGGGUAAGUUCCGACCUGCACGAAUGGCAUAAUGAUGGCGGCGCUGUCUCCAGCAGAGGCUCAGUGAAAUCGAAAUCGCUGUGAAGAUGCAGUGUACCCGCGGCUAGACGGAAAGACCCCGUGAACCUUUACUGCAGCUUGACACUGAACUUUGACCUUACUUGUGUAGGAUAGGUGGGAGGCUUUGAAGCUGGAACGCUAGUUCCAGUGGAGCCGUCCUUGAAAUACCACCCUGGUAAUGUUGAGGUUCUAACUCUGUCCCGUGAUCCGGGACGAGGACCGUGUCUGGUGGGUAGUUUGACUGGGGCGGUCUCCUCCUAAAGAGUAACGGAGGAGUACGAAGGUGCGCUCAGCGUGGUCGGAAAUCACGCGUAGAGUAUAAAGGCAAAAGCGCGCUUAACUGCGAGACCCACAAGUCGAGCAGGUACGAAAGUAGGUCUUAGUGAUCCGGUGGUUCUGUAUGGAAGGGCCAUCGCUCAACGGAUAAAAGGUACUCUGGGGAUAACAGGCUGAUACCGCCCAAGAGUUCAUAUCGACGGCGGUGUUUGGCACCUCGAUGUCGGCUCAUCUCAUCCUGGGGCUGAAGCAGGUCCCAAGGGUAUGGCUGUUCGCCAUUUAAAGAGGUACGCGAGCUGGGUUUAGAACGUCGUGAGACAGUUCGGUCCCUAUCUACCGUGGGCGCUGGAAAUUUGAGAGGAUCUGCUCCUAGUACGAGAGGACCAGAGUGGACGAACCUCUGGUGUACCGGUUGUGACGCCAGUCGCAUCGCCGGGUAGCUAUGUUCGGAAGGGAUAACCGCUGAAAGCAUCUAAGCGGGAAGCCUACCUCAAGAUAAGAUUUCCCUAGGACUUUAUGUCCUCUAAAGAGCCGUUCGAGACUAGGACGUUGAUAGGUUGGAUGUGGAAGCAUAGUGAUAUGUGAAGCUGACCAAUACUAAUUGCUCGUGAGGCUUGACUAUACAACACCCAAGCAGUUG
rnacentral:rRNA from 1 species